rnacentral:lncRNA from 1 species
AAAUUUUAAUUCGUUAUAACUUUUACCUCGAAUUUUCUAAAUUGUGACAAUCAAUCAAGUUCGAAAAUACAAUUUAGUCGGCUCAAUAUUGACGAGUUGUCGAUAUAAAAAGUGAUGCAGCAUCUUAAUUAUUAUUGCUACAUCACUUUUAUAUUAUCAAUUGUCAACAUUUAGUCAAGUAACCUGGGCUGUGGGACUUAAUUGUAACAAUUCAGAAAGUUCGACAAGAGAAUUUAAAUUAUAAUGAAUUAAAGUUUGAGUACUAUUUUGUCAUGCGCCUCAUAGUUUGAGGACCAAAAAUGUAAUUUACCCUAACAGAAAUUUAACAUCCUUUGCAGGAGAUUUUUCAUCUAAACGUAAAAUUAGUCUAGUUCCUACUUAUACAUAAGCUUGUAUCUAUUCCUGAAAUAAGCAGUUCUUAUUUAUAUCCGAACCAAACGCAGCCUUAAAGUUUUAACUUACAGAAUAUUACGUUA